GAAGGGGGCAAGCGUUGUUCGGAUUUACUGGGCGUAAAGGGCGCGUAGGCGGAUCUGCAAGUCAGAGGUGAAAGCCCUGGGCUCAACCCGGGAAUGGCCUUUGAGACUGCAAGUCUUGAGUGCGAGAGAGGGUGGCGGAAUACCCAGUGUAGAGGUGAAAUUCGUAGAUAUUGGGUAGAACACCAGUGGCGAAGGCGGCCACCUGGCUCGCAACUGACGCUGAGGCGCGAAAGCGUGGGGAGCAAACAGGAUUAGAUACCCUGGUAGUCCACGCCGUAAGCGAUGUGUGCUAGCCGUUGGUGACCUUUUUGGUCGUCGGUGGCGCAGCUAACGCGAUAAGCACACCGCCUGGGGAGUACGGCCGCAAGGUUA
rnacentral:rRNA from 1 species